CAACUCUAAGGGGCAUCAUUCACAUAGACUAUGAAGUGAAUAUGCCCCCUAGAGUUGUGC
rnacentral:pre_miRNA from 1 species